GGUGAACGCUGGCGGUAGGCCUAACACAUGCAAGUCGAACGGCAGCACAGUAAGAGCUUGCUCUUACGGGUGGCGAGUGGCGGACGGGUGAGGAAUACAUCGGAAUCUACUUUUUCGUGGGGGAUAACGUAGGGAAACUUACGCUAAUACCGCAUACGACCUACGGGUGAAAGCAGGGGAUCUUCGGACCUUGCGCGAUUGAAUGAGCCGAUGUCGGAUUAGCUAGUUGGCGGGGUAAAGGCCCACCAAGGCGACGAUCCGUAGCUGGUCUGAGAGGAUGAUCAGCCACACUGGAACUGAGACACGGUCCAGACUCCUACGGGAGGCAGCAGUGGGGAAUAUUGGACAACGGGCGCAAGCCUGAUCCAGCCAUACCGCGUGGGUGAAGAAGGCCUUCGGGUUGUAAAGCCCUUUUGUUGGGAAAGAAAAGCAGCAGGUUAAUACCCCGCUGUUCUGACGGUACCCAAAGAAUAAGCACCGGCUAACUUCGUG
rnacentral:rRNA from 1 species